rnacentral:rRNA from 1 species
AUUGAACGCUGGCGGCAGGCCUAACACAUGCAAGUCGAGCGGAGCGGCGGACGGGUGAGUAAUGCCUAGGAAUCUGCCUGGUCGUGGGGGAUAACGUCCGGAAACGGGCGCUAAUACCGCAUACUAUCAAAAGAGCAUAGGUCGGAUUCGCUAGUUGGGGGGGUAAAGACCGACCAAGGCGACGAUCCGUAAGUGGUCUGAGAGGAUGAUCAGUCACACUGGAACUGAGACCCGGUCCAGACUACGAAGGUAGGCAGCAGUGGGGAAUAUCGGAAAAAGGGCGAAAGCCUGAUCCAUCCAUGCCGCGUGUGUGAAGAAGGUCUUCGGAUUGUAAAGCACGUUAAGUUGGGAGGCGUUACCAACAGAAUGAACACGGGCUAACUUCGUGCCAGCAGCCGCGGUAAUUC